CCCCUCUCAGAGUUGCAGCUGGAGAGUUUCCAGUACUCUACCAGUCUCAACUACGGGAGGGAGAAUCAAGCAGAGAAAUAUUCAUUCCAUUCCUAGCUUGGCCAGUGGCCAGUGAAUAGAAGGCAAUCUGCUAUAAAC